rnacentral:lncRNA from 1 species
GCCUCGCGGACCGCAGCAGUGCCGGCGGGAGAGCUGGCUUGGGGCGCUGGCACCUCCUCUUACAGCUUUACUCCUGCCAGCUUGGGAAAAGGCCGGAGAAGGUGAAAUUCUGUGUGCUCCCUCCGGCGAGAGACUUUGUCAGCUCCCGCACAGUAACGUGGAAGUCCAAGAAUCCGAGUGGAGGCUCACCGAGGCGAAGGGGCCAACCAUGGGAAAGGAGAGUGGAUGGGACUCAGGGGCAGCUGGACUCUCUGUGACAUCUAAAGUUAUCGGGGGCUUUGCUGGGACAGCUCUUGGGGCCUGGCUGGGUUCACCCCCUUCCAGCUGAACACCACACUGAGGCAGGGAGUUGGCUCUCUUGGUGGAGAUGACUUUCCUGGGCCUCUGGAUGACAAUCUUCCAAAGGACAAGUCUCCUACUCCCAAAACUAUUUAAGGAAGCAUGAAAAAUAAAGAUGCUGGUUAUCUUCUCCU